UUCGAAUGAGUACAAUUUAAAUCCUUUAACGAGGAUCAACUGGAGGGCAAGUCUGGUGCCAGCAGCCGCGGUAAUUCCAGCUCCAGUGGCAUAUAUUAAAGUUGUUGCAGUUAAAAAGCUCGUAGUUGGAUCUGGGUGGAAUGGCUGUGCGCUGUUUCGCUUUCUUGGCCUGGCUCUGCCGGGUCGGUGAGUGAGUCGGUGUUGCGGUUGUUCUAUCUUUCUGCCGUGUCUGUGCAAACAGGUGCUGACUUCGGUCGGCAUGCUUCCGGAUGCCUUUCAACGGGUGUCGGGGGCGGACGGCAUGUUUACUUUGAACAAAUUUGAGUGCUCAAAGCAGGCCCGUGAGCCUGAAAAGUCUUGCAUGGAAUAAUGGAAUAGGACUUCGGUCCUAUUUUGUUGGUUUUCGGAUCCGAAGUAAUGGUUAAGAGGGACAGACGGGGGCAUUUGUAUGGCGGCGUUAGAGGUGAAAUUCUUGGAUCGUCGCCAGACAAACUACAGCGAAAGCAUUUGCCAAGGAUGUUUUCAUUGAUCUUGAGCGAAAGUCAGAGGUUCGAAGACGAUCAGAUACCGUCGUAGUUCUGACCAUAAAUGAUGCCAACUGACGAUCCGUGGUGG
rnacentral:rRNA from 1 species